rnacentral:rRNA from 1 species
UACGUAGGGUGCAAGCGUUGUCCGGAAUUAUUGGGCGUAAAGAGCUCGUAGGCGGUUUGUUGCGUCGGCUGUGAAAUCCCGAGGCUCAACCUCGGGUCUGCAGUCGAUACGAGCAAACUAGAGUGUUGCAGGGGAGACUGGAAUUCCUGGUGUAGCGGUGAAAUGCGCAGAUAUCAGGAGGAACACCAAUGGCGAAGGCGGUUGCCUGGAGCUUUGCUGACGCUGAUGCGCGAAAGCGUGGGGGAGCGAUCCGG